AUCCAACUGAUGAGUUUCAAAUAGGACGAAACUCGCGUUCUGUAU
rnacentral:hammerhead_ribozyme from 1 species